CUUGCUCCACCGAAAGAAAAAGAGUGGCGAACGGGUGAGUAACACGUGGGUAACCUGCCCAUCAGAAGGGGAUAACACUUGGAAACAGGUGCUAAUACCGUAUAACACUAUUUUCCGCAUGGAAGAAAGUUGAAAGGCGCUUUUGCGUCACUGAUGGAUGGACCCGCGGUGCAUUAGCUAGUUGGUGAGGUAACGGCUCACCAAGGCCACGAUGCAUAGCCGACCUAAGAGGGUGAUCGGCCACACUGGGACUGAGACACGGCCCAGACUCCUACGGGAGGCAGCAGUAGGGAAUCUUCGGCAAUGGACGAAAGUCUGACCGAGCAACGCCGCGUGAGUGAAGAAGGUUUUCGGAUCGUAAAACUCUGUUGUUAGAGAAGAACAAGGAUGAGAGUAGAACGUUCAUCCCUUGACGGUAUCUAACCAGAAAGCCACGGCUAACUACGUGCCAGCAGCCGCGGUAAUACGUAGGUGGCAAGCGUUGUCCGGAUUUAUUGGGCGUAAAGCGAGCGCAGGCGGUUUCUUAAGUCUGAUGUGAAAGCCCCCGGCUCAACCGGGGAGGGUCAUUGGAAACUGGGAGACUUGAGUGCAGAAGAGGAGAGUGGAAUUCCAUGUGUAGCGGUGAAAUGCGUAGAUAUAUGGAGGAACACCAGUGGCGAAGGCGGCUCUCUGGUC
rnacentral:rRNA from 1 species